AAGGUCACUGCUAUCGGUGUUCGAUUAAGCCAUGCGAGUCGUGAGGGGUAAAGCCCUCGGCGGAGUGCUCAGUAACACGUGGACAACCUACCCAAGAGUCAGGGAUAACCCCGGGAAACUGGGUAUAAUACCUGAUAGGCCAUGACAUCUGGAAUCGAGUUGUGGUUUAAACGUAAGGCUCUUGGAUGGGUCUGCGGCGGAUUAGGUUGUUGCCGGUGUAACGUACCAGCAAGCCUGUAAUCCGUACGGGUUGUGGGAGCAAGAGCCCGGAGAUGGAUUCUGAGACACGAAUCCAGGCCCUACGGGGCGCAGCAGGCGCGAAAACUCUACAAUGCAGGCAACUGCGAUAGGGGAACAUCGAGUGGCAUCCACCAUGGAUGUCUGUCCAAUCGUCUAAAAAACGAUUGUCAGCAAGGGCCGGGCAAGACCGGUGCCAGCCGCCGCGGUAAUACCGGCGGCUCGAGUGGUGGCCGAUAUUAUUGAGUCUAAAGGGUCCGUAGCCGGCUUUGCAAGUCCUAUGGGAAAUCCAGCGGCUUAACCGUUGGGCUUUCAUGGGAUACUACAUUGCUUGGGACUGGGAGAGGUAGGAGGUACUCAGGGGGGUAGGGGUGAAAUCCUGUAAUCCUUUGGGGACCACCGGUGGCGAAGGCGUCCUACCAGAACAGGUCCGACGGUGAGGGACGAAAGCUAGGGGCACGAACCGGAUUAGAUACCCGGGUAGUCCUAGCCGUAAACGAUGCUCGCUAGGUGUCACGGCAGUCGUGAAUUGUCGUGGUGCCGUAGGGAAGCCGUGAAGCGAGCCACUUGGGAGGUACGACCGCAAGGUUGAAACUUAA
rnacentral:rRNA from 1 species